rnacentral:rRNA from 1 species
UACGGGGGGGGCAAGCGUUGUUCGGAAUUACUGGGCGUAAAGGGCUCGUAGGCGGCCAACUAAGUCAGACGUGAAAUCCCUCGGCUUAACCGGGGAACUGCGUCUGAUACUGGAUGGCUUGAGUUCGGGAGAGGGAUGCGGAAUUCCAGGUGUAGCGGUGAAAUGCGUAGAGAUGUGGAGGAACACCGAUGGCGAAGGCAGCCUCCUGGGCCAACACUGACGCUCAUGCACGAAAGCGUGGGGAGCAAACAGG